rnacentral:lncRNA from 1 species
UAGAGCCCUCUGCAUUUAUAAAUUGAAUAAUAGUUUUGUACGCUCUCACAAUUUUUGAUGUUCAAUGGUGAAUGUUUUAUGUUUCAGUACUCCUCCUGCCUAGCAAUAAGUGUAACACUAACUCUAGUGAUGUAUCUACCUCAAAACAAGAGACUGUGACUUCGAGCACUCCUAGUUAUAUAACUAAUCUUAAAGUGGAAUCCCCACCAAGACCUCAUUCGUCUCCUCAGACUAUGUCUAUCUCACCAUUCAGUUACUUUGACAUGGAAGGCGCUUUCAUGCAAGAAACGAAUGCUGCAUCUGCAGCCUUAUCUCCGGAUGAAGGUUUCGGAGAUCUUCAAAUGAGUGAAUUAUGCAAAGGAGGUUCUAAAAAUAGUACACCUGACAAAAGGUUCAACCCCUUCUUAAGUUCCGGUUUUAAAAUUUCACCACAAUCACCUCUAAGUAGGCGGCAAAUGUGGGCUAGGAGAAGACGCUCACUCUCCGAUUGCACAGAUUUCACGCCGGAUAAAAGUCAUCAUGAUCCGUUGCUGAGUUCAGCCAACGAGAUAACAGAUAUCAGUAUAGGUGGCCAGUGCACUCCAAAGAAAAUGACUCCCAUCAAACAAUUACCCUUUAGCCCUUCCCAGUUUUUAAAUAGCCCCAACUUAUCUUUCGAUGUUCUAUCGUCGACUCCGGUGAAAAGUGGGAUGAUGACUUCCCACAAAUUGUGUGGGUGCAAAAGCCCAGAUGUUUUGGUUACCCCAAAUCCUACUCUACCCUUGCAACAAACCAAAAACAACAAGCAGCCAAAAACGGUGAUGAGUCCCCCUGUGCAACCCCGAAACAUUCCCAUUCAAAUUUCACUCCACGGACCCCAACUCCUUUCAAGAAUGCGUUAG